rnacentral:rRNA from 1 species
AACGAACGCUGGCGGCAUGCCUAACACAUGCAAGUCGAACGAGACCUUCGGGUCUAGUGGCGCACGGGUGCGUAACGCGUUGGAACCUGCCCUUAGGUUCGGAAUAACUCCCCGAAAGGGGUGCUAAUACCGGAUAAUGUCUUCGGACCAAAGAUUUAUCGCCUUUGGAUGGGCCCGCGUUGGAUUAGCUAGUUGGUAGGGUAAAAGCCUACCAAGGCGACGAUCCAUAGCUGGUCUGAGAGGAUGAUCAGCCACACUGGGACUGAGACACGGCCCAGACUCCUACGGGAGGCAGCAGUGGGGAAUAUUGGACAAUGGGCGAAAGCCUGAUCCAGCAAUGCCGCGUGAGUGAUGAAGGCCUGAGGGUUGUAAAGCUCUUUUACCCGGGAUGAUAAUGACAGUACCGGGAGAAUAAGCUCCGGCUAACUCCGUG